AACGAACGCUGGCGGCAGGCCUAACACAUGCAAGUCGAGCGGACCCUUCGGGGUUAGCGGCGGACGGGUGAGUAACGCGUGGGAACGUGCCCUUUGCUUCGGAAUAGCCCUGGGAAACUGGGAGUAAUACCGGAUACGCCCUUUUGGGGAAAGAUUUAUCGGCGAAGGAUCGGCCCGCGUUGGAUUAGGUAGUUGGUGGGGUAAUGGCCUACCAAGCCGACGAUCCAUAGCUGGUUUGAGAGGAUGAUCAGCCACACUGGGACUGAGACACGGCCCAGACUCCUACGGGAGGCAGCAGUGGGGAAUCUUAGAAAAUGGGGGAAACCCUGAUCUAGCCAUGCCGCGUGAGCGAUGAAGGCCUUAGGGUUGUAAAGCUCUUUCACCGGGGAAGAUAAUGACGGUACCCGGAGAAGAAGCCCCGGCUAACUCCGUG
rnacentral:rRNA from 1 species